UGUAUGCGUUUGGCCUCACCAUUUAACCCUAUGGUUUUCAUUCUCGCUUCCUAUUACGCCGCUUCUCCAACUAGUAUACUCCACAACGAUGCUUUUAGAUGGAACCCAAACUCAGUCGAACAUCUCUGUUGCGUAUUCCACCUGAGACCAACCGCCAGUAUCAUAGCCCAGUCGCCAGGCACUUUCUCUCCAUGCCCAUGUCGCCUCCCUUCACCCCUUCUCCGCCGAGCUACUCAUAACUUUCAUCUUCCGUGCCUCAGUUUUCCACCGGUGACCACAACAGAAAAGAAAAGACCUUAAAGAUGGCAAACAAAGAAUUCCUGUGGCACUAUUAUCCCAAACACAUGGAAAGCAGUAUUGGUAGCCCAGACCACUUCGAUCGUGCAUCGUCACACCCGUAGAAGCUCCAGCCUGUUGUCCGUAAGUCUGAAAAAUGGGACCCGCCAAAGUACAAAAUCUUCAUUGCCACCUGUGAAAUUGUCAAUGCCGAAGGUGACGAGGCAAAUGCUUCUUGAUAAAAGGAUGACACGUAUCAAUGAAUUGUUCAAUAGCUCCGUGGGAAAAGAAUUGGAAAACCUAUUGAAAUAAACUGCGAACGGAGCACAAGCAACUCUUCGAGCUGCUGCAAUGCAUUGGUAUUAAGUACCUCUCGGACACGGGUAAAAUCGUAGCCCCUGAGCAGUGGUGGAAAGCGAGACUGAGAUACCGAGUUGUUUUCCCUGAGGAUUAUCCCACUAAUACAUUACUUUGUUUUUGAAAUGUACAUCAACAAUAUUUCCAUUCAAAAUCAACAAGUCAUUUCAUCCAUGCAUUUGUUCGGGUACAAAAACUGCUUGAUUUAUGCUGUGAGUAGAUGUUACAAAGCAUAUCACGUUUAAGUACUUAGUCGAAAAUAUUGUCGUUUCUAUUUCUCUGAGUUCGUUACUUUCAAGAUAAAAUCGUUUGUCCCUACUACUUGAGGUUACUGAAAUGCAUUGUGUGAAACGUGUUCUUGUGCAUCAAACCUUCCCCAAAUGUGUAUGUACAUAUGUUGAUUGGCUACUUGUAUUUUCAGAA